CACCUCGACGUCAUCAGUAACAGUCAAGAAUGGGCGCGGUUUGAACACAAAUCAGCGUGUCAUGCGCAGAAACGUAAGAAAGUGUGCAGUUUUGGCGAGAUUUUAGCGGGUUUUUAAAAUUUAUCAGGUUAGUUUCCCCCAGCCAUUGUUAUCAAAUGAUAUUUUUUUUUGUGUGUUUUAGUAAGGGGACACACCCAUGGGUCAGUUCUCCUCAAAAGUAUUCAAUAUAUACAAACAUACAUACAUAUAUAUAAACAUGUUACAAACAUUUAGGUAAACUUUAGGCGGAAGAAAAACUGGAAUCCAGCAGGUUAAUUUACCUGCAUUGUUUGAUUAUAUAAGCAGGAUUAAGCACAUUUCAGAAUUUAAUAAGUGGCUCUCCUUCAAUUCAUGAGUAAAUGUCAAUAAUUUUUUGCGAGGUCUCACAGGAAGCUGAAUUUGGAUUGGAAUGACGAGGAAUUAUUUCACUCUGGCACACAGCUGGCAUCGGCGACUUUCCAUUAGGCAUCUGAGUGGCCGCCUCGCUGGUGGGAGGACCCGCACUGGGGCCACUUCCUGGGGAACACAAUACCAGUUUCAUCUCCCCUCUGAGUUUGUUGCGUGCCUAAUCGUACAUGACUUUGAGGAGACGACGUGCGCUACCAUCCCAGCACGUCGUAUUUGAAUAUGGACAAAAAAACAGAUCAGACAUUAGCAACUGCUAUUGAUCCUCAAAUAGGGGCCGAGCUGUCUGUUUUGAACGCCGCUGCCCGGUCGAUCCCAUCUGACCUACUGUUCACAAGAGAGCAUAAAUUAGAAGGAAAUCUCAGGGUAUCCUCGGUCCUCUCACACAGACAGCAGGGACGGAGAACGGCAGAGAGCCUUUGGCCAGAGGGUGGCAGCAGUGAGUAGCCCUCGCCACAGAGAAGCAGCACGAGUGUUAUCCCUGUCUUCACCUCAGCAGCCACGUCCUCUUGGGUCCUACACAAGCCCCCUGCACAAUUACAGGACAGCCCUAAUUCCUUAUCAUAAAAAUCCAAUGGUGUAAUGUUGGAGGAAUUGCUGUGUUGAGGCUAAACAAUAGGUCUCACACACUACGCUUUGUGUCAUUAAACUCAGCAUGCAAGCUUUGAAGUGUCCCUUAAUUCGGCCAUGCUGCGCCUCUUCCACAUGAAGAUAUUGCAACAAUAUGAAGAAAACCAAAUGAGAGAGUCAGAGAGACAAAUAGAGAUGUAGCCAUCACCUUCACUGUGAACCGCUUUUAUUUUCAGUGCUGUUAGGUGUACUACAGAGAUUACUUAGACCCAUUACCACAGUUAUGGUUAGGCGGAGCACCAGAGCAAUAGAGAAACAGUGUUCUCCUGGUACUUCAUAGGCAAGUCAGACGUCUGGCUUCGAACCUAUGCAGUAUUCCCACAAGGGCUCUAGUGUUCACAUUUACCACAAAUGCAAUACACACUUGAAAAGUUUGCAUCACCAGACAGCCGCUGCUGAGGACGUACGCUUAAUUUCAAUCACAUCAUUUGAGUGGGAGGGAAGAAAUCAGUUAGUGGAGAGGAAACAUUAUUUGAGAUAAGAUCAUUUGAGAGGAUUUUUUUUGCUACAUGCUUUGAUGUUGAAGAGAAUUAAAGGGAUAGUUCACCCAAAAAUAUAUUUUUUAUACUAUUUUUAUUAUUAUUACUAUUAUUUUAUUCACCCACAUGUCCUUCGAAGCAUAUGAAUUAUUCACUGUUGGCCUUUAAAAAAAAAUCUUGAACAUUCUGCUAAAUAUCUU
ensembl:lncRNA